rnacentral:lncRNA from 1 species
CUGUGAUUUACCUCAGGCAUUGAUCUGCUUGGUUACAUCUGGUCAGAAAUGUAAAACCCUGUCAUCACCAUAGAUUUAGAGCAUUUCCUAUAGGUUAAUAUAAAACCAAAUGUUUUCAAAGGAAACAACUUAAAAAAAAUAGGAAAGCAGAAUGGUGUGUUGGUGAAGGGGUACACAUUUUGGAGCUAAAUCUAAACCCGAAUUCCUGUUUAACCAUUUACUGUCUCUGUGGCCUUGAGUAAAUUACUCAACCUUUGUCUGUAAACCUUGUUUUUCUGUUGUAAAAGGGGAGGGAUGCUGAUGAUACUGACAAUGAUAAGGAACAACAAACAGAUGAACAAUACUACCAACUUCAUAGACUCAUUGUUUAAAGCACGGUGUCUGGCGCACAAUUCCUGGACAAUCAUUUGCUUCCCACUGGUCCUGAGGAAUAUUGUGGACCCCUAGUCCUGAUUCUCUUGGUCAUGAUUUUCUACUUCCAAAGUUGUUUCUGCAAAGCAAGAUGGUAAGUCACAAAUGAAAACUGAAGAGAAGGGGUUAGACUAAGAAUCCCAUCCCAAUCUGGACCCAAGUUUGAGUAGUUGUAUAAUUUAAGCCCCA